ACAGCUGAACGGGUAGUCAUCCUUCUACCUAGACAGCUGAACGGGUAGUCAUCCUUCUACCUACACAGCUGAACGGGUAGUCAUCCCUCCACCUACACAGCUAGCUCCAGAACAAAUAGUCAUCCUUCCACCUACACAGCUGAACGGGAAGUCAUCCUUCUACCUAGACAGCUGAACAGGUAGUCAUCCCUCCACCUACACAGCUGAACGGGUAGUCAUC